CAUGGAGGGUGAGAAUCCCGUUCGGUUGACCUUAUGACGCUUUACGAUACGCUCUCAAAGAGUCGAGUUGUUUGGGAUUGCAGCUCAAAAUGGGAGGUAAAUUUCUCCUAAGGCUAAAUAUCGGCGAGAGACCGAUAGCGAACAAGUACCGUGAGGGAAAGAUGAAAAGAACUUUGAAAAGAGAGUAAAAUAGUACGUGAAAUUGUUGAAAGGGAAACGAUUGAAGUCAGUCGUACCGACGGAAAAUCAGCUCUUCGAGUGCGAACUUGUGGGCGUACGUGAGCUUUAACCGGCCUCGUUGUUUGCGAUGUUUGUGCUCUUUGGGUGUACUUUUUCGUAUGGUUGGCCAACGUCAGUCUCGGUUAUCAUAAAAUGAUUGGAGGAAUGUAGCUUCGAUCUUGUAUUGAAGUGUUAUAGCCUCUGGUAGAUGUGGUAAACGAAACUGAGGAUUGCAACGAAUACCCUUCGGGCUAUCCGUCUGACCUCUGAAAGUUGCUUGGGUGCCGAAAGCUUGCUUACGGUCAUCCAUGACGACGGUCAAAAGGUUAGAACGUGAUUAUAUUCGUUAAGGAUGUUGACGUAAUGG
rnacentral:rRNA from 1 species